rnacentral:rRNA from 1 species
GACGAACGCUGGCGGCGUGCUUAACACAUGCAAGUCGAACGGUGAAAGCGGAGCUUGCUCCGCUGGAUCAGUGGCGAACGGGUGAGUAACACGUGGGCAACCUGCCCCUCACUUCGGGAUAACUCCGGGAAACCGGGGCUAAUACCGGAUAUGACCUCCUUGGGCAUCCUUGGAGGUGGAAAGUUUUUCGGUGAGGGAUGGGCCCGCGGCCUAUCAGCUUGGUGGUGAGGUAGUGGCUCACCAAGGCGACGACGGGUAGCCGGCCUGAGAGGGCGACCGGCCACACUGGGACUGGGACACGGCCCAGACUCCGACGGGAGGCAGCAGUGGGGAAUAUUGCGCAAUGGGCGAAAGCCUGACGCAGCAACGCCGCGUGCGGGAUGACGGCCUUCGGGUUGUAAACCGCUUUCAGCAGGGAAGAAGCCGCAAGGUGACGGUACCUGCAGAAGAAGCACCGGCUAACUACGUGCCAGCCGCCGCCGUAA